GUAGGUGACAGGAUCAGAAUGAGGAUUUGAAAGGUUUAUCAGAUGGGACUUCCUUGGCUGUCCAGUGGUUAAGACUCCACAUAUCCACUGCAGGAGGCAUAGGUUCCAUUCCUGGCUGGAGAUGAACUAAGAUCCCUGCAAGACUCGCUGUCAAAAAUAAAAAAUUAUCAGAGCUACCACCUGGGGGAGGGAUUGAGAGGGGAGAGGAGUGAAUAUAGGGAGUGCAGACACGAACAAUUCUGGUGAGAUGCAAUGGCCACUUGGUGCAGUGAGUGGGGGGAAACCCAGAGGUAGAGAGGAGGCGUGAAAAAUGGGGUACGCAAGAGAAAAGUGUCAAGGAUGACUCCUAAGUGUUCUGAGUCAAAUAACCAUAUGGGUGUUGGUACCAUUCACUGAGGGAAGGAACUCUGGAAGACAGCCAGGUUUAGGCGGACAGAUUAUGAGUUCCACCUGGGGGUCGGUGGUGGAUAACACUUUCUUUCAGGGACUGGAGCUCAGGGAAUGGGUCUGAUCCCAUAGGCUGGGAGGAAGGGGCCAGCAGGGCCAGACCAAGCAGGACCAGAGGAGGCAACAAAUGCCCUUCCCUCGUCCUCCCUCCCUCCCAGCCACUGCUCCAGAGCUUCGGCCCUCUUAUAAGCGCCCAACUCUUCGUCCGCUUUCUUCACCAGCUCCACGCACAGCUGUGCGGAUGAGGCUCUCAGAGGAGCAGUCCCUCCACCCCGCAGCCUGGGCCCGGCUACUGCAUGAACGGGCAUCUGGCUCCCCCUCGUGGUGACAUCAGCACAUUGGCGCGCUAGGUCAGCUCGGAGCUGCCGGGGCCAGAGGCAGGGCUAUGGCCGGCGUCCUGGUCGAGAGGUCAGGAAGUGUGUGUCCAGUCCUGGCCAGUGACUCACUCUACAACUGUGCGCUGUUCCCCUGACCUGUAUGUGCUCCGAUUUCCUUGCCUGCAAAUUAGGGUUAGUGAUCUGGGUGAGGCUUUCCUUGGCUAACACAUAGAGUUUUUAAAAGAGUUUUGUUAGUUUGAAGAACCCCUCUCCCUAACUUGAGGUGCCUUGACAUCCAGUGGCCGCUCAACAACACUCCUGUGUGCUACCAACCCCUUCCGUAAACCACUCCAUUUCGGGACAGCCACAUUAGACAUACUGCCAUUGGACUUCCCUGGUGCCUCAGACAAUAAAGCGUCUGCCUACAACGUGUGAGACCUGGGUUCAAUCCCUGGGUGGGGAUCUCCUGGAGAAGGAAAUGGCAACCCCACUCCAGUACUCUUGCCUGGAAAAUCCCAUGGAUGGAGGAACCUGGUAGGCUGCAGUCCAUGGGGUCACAAAGAGUCAGACAUGACAGAGCAACUUCACUUUCACGUAGCCAGAAUAUGGUGAUGCAUGGGGCCAGGUUGGUACUGUCAGGGCACUCCGUUGGAAGGAUCAGGCA
ensembl:lncRNA